rnacentral:rRNA from 1 species
AUUGAACGCUGGCGGCAGGCCUAACACAUGCAAGUCGAACGAGUGGCGGACGUGUGAGUCACGUCUGGGAAACUGCCCGAUGGUGGGGGAUAACUACUGGAACCGGUAGCUAAUACCGCAUACCAUCGGAUGUGCCCAGAUGGGAUUAGCUAGUUGGUGGGGUAACGGCGCACCUACGCGACGAUCCCUAGCGGGUCUGAGAGGAUGACCAGCCACACUGGAACUGAGACACGGUCCAGACUCCUACGGGAGGCAGCAGUGGGGAAGAGUGCACAAUGGGCGCAAGCCUGAUGCAGCCAUGCCGCGUGUAUGAAGAAGGCCUUCGGGUUGUAAAGUACUUUCAGAGAGGAGGCGUUACUCGCAGAAGAAGCAACGGCUAACUCCGUGCCAGCAGCCGCGGUAAUAC